GUUAAUUUAAUUUAUUUGUUUAUUUGUGGGACUGCUAUAAUGAUAUCCACUUAAAUCUAACUAUAACGGAAUUUUGUAUAGUGGUUCUCUGAUUUAAACUUGAAUCUUAUCCUUUUCAGCUGUCAUUUCAUUAAAAUCACCACUUUCUUGAAAUCCUAAUGUUGUCAUGGAAGGCUCUGUAAGGGCUGACCUUGAAGUCUCUGAAAGCUGAAUGCUCGGCAAAAGACUGCGGCUCUUUUGGUAUUCAGGGAGAAGAGAAAACAGGCUCCGUCUAAGAGUUUUUGACCUGGUCUGCCUGGUGUGUGGACAUAUUUCAAUUACCUGGGUUAUUCAAACCAAAAUUCGUUGGUAGUAGAAUAUGGGGAACAAUAGGGUAUUAUGACUGGGGAACAAAGGAUACUACAGGUUUUGACUGGUCACUGAGCAUAUCAUUUUCUUUUUGGGCACAGGCUCUUAUUUCCUAAUAAAAUCGGAGAAUGAGUUCCUGUCUUCACUUCUAAAUUAACCCUCUUAAUUGCCAUUGUUUACCCACAGGGACCAUCAUGGUAGAUGGCAUGAGAGGGUGUCCUUGCUCCAAUGGUGGGCUGGUAAGGAAACAAGAGCAAGGCAGAAGCAAACCAUAACUCUUCUAGGAUUUAUUCUUAUUUUGCUUUGGUCUAUUUAUAUAAAUAUCUGAAUCAGUGAGAACCAGCCGCUUCGAAUACAUGUAUGCAUCUUUGGAUUUGCUGACGGAUAAAACAUUGCAUUGGGCUGUCUUCUGUCAAGUUCUCUCUGUCCUUAUGGUGUACAUAAAGGUGUACAUAUUUAUGGGGUUCAUGAAAUGUUUUGAUACAGGCACGUAAUGUGAAAUAAUCACAUCCUAGUGAGUGUGGUAUCCGUCCAUCCCCUCAAGAAUUUAUCCUUUGAGUUAUAAACAAUUCAUUUAUACUCUUUUAGCUCUUUUAAAAUGUACAAUUAAGUUACUGACUAUAGUCAUCUUGUUGUGCUGUCAAAUAGUAGGUCUUAUUCUUUCGAUUUUUUUUGUACCUAUUAACCACCUCCACUUCUUUCUUAAUUUGGAACAGUUCCUUGAAGCUACAGAAAUAUUGUCUAGCAUGAUUAGGGAAGCACAGGAGGUAAAAAUACAUUGUCCAGGGAUCAGUUAUUGUCUUGUACAAGGUCUAGAAUCUAACAGGUUGCAAUCCGAGUGCAGAACUUUUGACUGUACUUGCCUAUGAAGCUCCCACUUCCCCCUAAGACUCUUCCUUCCUGAUACUCAUCAUUCAUUUUGCGGACACUGCAGGAGGGGUCUGCAGUCCCAUUGGAGCUCUUGGCAAAUUGUAAUGCUCAGGACGGCACAGAUGUCACGCAAGGUCUUAGGGAGACCAGCCUUUCCCAUUCAAGUGCCCACAGCUCUUUCCCCAGCGGUCACCUUCCUCAGAAAUGGCCUUUAACACCGCCACCUCACCCCAUCCCCCUCCACUCUUGGGGAAGCAUAAGUCUAGGUGAGUGCCGAAGAUUUUCUUUCUGAAGUUUUGAAAUAACAUUGUACUGCAAAUCCAGGCAAUCAAAAACUCACAAAUCACUUUCACUCUGCAGCAGUGGUAUCAGGCCUGAAGAAAGGAGGCUGAAGAUAGGCACAUGGCUUUGCUAAGUUAGCUUUUAUAUCCUGAGUGGCUGCCUUAGAAAGUGUCCUUGCCCAGCUUUCUGAACCUGAAGAACUUUGUAGAUUGAAAACUGUAGCUUGUGGACCCCUCUCUGUGGAGAUCAGCAUCUCAGUAUCCAGGGGGAAGUCAUCUCUUCACCCAAAGCUUCUGCUAGCACAUCAAGAGGCCCGGAACCCCGCAGUCCUGAAUGCUAACCAGUAGAGACAAGGGAGGAAUUCAUUUCUGUUUGUGUUCAACGUAGACUGAGCAGGAAGGGCCAGGUGUUUUACGGCUCUUUGGAGUUAGCAGCUUGAUGGCUGUGAUUUGGUAAAAACGAUUGGAAAUGCCUUCAGCACGGUGAUCAUUACAUGCAAGUGUUGUGAAGCGUUAGGAAAGGGAAUUUUUUUUUUUUUUUUUUUAGGUGAGGGAAUUUCCCAUUGAGGAAGACCCCUGCUUCGUUUUUAGACUCAGCCUAUCAGUCAACUGAUUUGGCUGUGCAUGUAAAUACUUGAGUAUAAAAUGCUGCCCCCUGCUACCUGCAGGCUGUCAUGUUGCUCAUCAAAGGCAGGAUCCUUCUAAUGAGGGAUUAGCUGGAUGCCUAAAUGCGGGACCACCUACUCUGUUCACUGUCUUAAUUAGCUAGAUGUUUGUUAGAGCUCAUGCAAAUUAUUUUCUGUAAGCAGACAGAUUUAGUGUCAUAUCUAAGGAGUGACAUCCAGGGUUUUGUCAGACAUCCAUUAAAAUUCUUUUUUUUUUUUUUUAAAUAUUUGAGAUGGGGUCUCACGAUGUUGCCCGGGGGUUGUUCUUGAACUCCUGGGCUCAAGGAAUCCUCCCACCUCAGCCUCCCAAAGUACCGAGAUUACUGGUGUGAGCCACCGUGCCCAGAUGCUGUUAACAAGUAUGAACAGAUUCGAUAUUUUCAGUCUAAUCUUCAGUGGUAAUGAUAAUAAAACUUCUUAACUUUCAUUCCUAAUCCAGUAGUGGCUAAAACUUGAUUUUAAAAGUUUUUUCCAGAAUUUGGUCCAGAUGAAAAGUUUCUUUCACCUUGUGAACAUUUAGAACGCUGGGCUGCAUCAUAUGUUGUGACUUCAAAGCUAGAAUAACCUCACUUCGUUUCAGUUUUUGAGCCAAAAGGACCCAUUAACAGAAAUAAAACUUUUCUUCUUGUGAACAUAUACAAGCUGGCCACAUUGGUAAAUACCAGUGAAAUGUAUUUUGGGACUGACACUUGAAUUUUCUAUUGGUAUUUAUGUCACAAAAUCACCUCUCUAAGGUUUAUUACCUGGAGAUACACACACACACACACACACACACACACACACUUACUUUUAUAUCAAAAUGUAUAUAUUUUGAGGUAUAAAAAGUACGUGCUCAAGGUAUCAGUCACUCCUAAAUUUGUUUUCCUUGAAACAAAACGAAGGUAUCAAAUUUCAUGCAGGGAACCCCAAAGUGUUAUCAUGGCGUGAUGUUGAAAUUGAUGGUCUUAGCUUAGAGAGCCUACUUUUUAAAACUUGGGGUCCUGUUUCUAAAUCAUGUGUUGAAAUUACAGUGUGAACUGGACUUGCCAUACUCUUUGAUCCUGCAAAUCAUCACUGUGAUGACCUCCUAUCUGCUGCAAGUUCGACCCGUUCUACACUAAUACAAGAACAUUACUUUUUCUUCAUGUAGAGAAGGGUGUUCAUUCCUAAGACUUUAAAUCCACACUUCCCAUUUAUGGAGUACACCGGCUUCCUUUACUCCUUUGGUUCUUUGUUUUCUUUUUCGUACCUAGAUGUUACUAAAUUUUGCCUUUGAGCCUAAACCAUGCUGUUGAUGUUUUUUUUUUUUUUUUUUCCCCACUUAUUCCGAAAGGUCCCAUAAAUCUGAGGCCAUAGCUGACUUAGAUUUAGUCAUUUUCUUGGGUAAAACAUACUCAUAUGAAAUCAUUACACUUAGGAUCUUGAAAUGCAUGAUUAGUUUCCUUUCUGAUUGUUGACAAGACGAACUAGUGGGAUCUUGGCAUUUAUCUUUUUAAGAGCCUGGUGCUCAUUAAGAAAAGGAAAAUAUUCUGAAAUAAUCGAAAUAACCUUUUGGGCAUUGAAACUCCAUUUUGAAUUAAAAACAUUUGUGUCUGCUAUUCUCUUAUGCUAAAUUAUAUCCAGGUAUUAUAAGUAAAAUUAUUUGGAAGUUACUUUGUUCUAAGAAACUAUGGAGAUUAUUGACAAUAUUAGAAAGAGUCCUUAGCUGAUAAUUAUAUAAAAAUUGAGAAUUAGCACCUUAUGACUUAACCAUUUUACAUUGAAAUGUUAUUGGACAUUGAAUGUACAUGGAAAUCACAUGGUCAAAGUAUUUGAGAAACAAGUAUCUCAAGGAAGAUACCAGUUUAAAACAUUCAAAUGAGCUUCAUCUCAUAAUUUGGUAAUCUCAUGUAAAGUACUUUGGAUAGGGGUGUGUAUCUGUAUACAUACAUUUUAAAAAUAGAUCUGUAAUCACAUAUACAGUA